GCUCAAUCAAUGAUCUAUGCACUUCACGGUCGUUCGCUCAAAUGGAAGAUUCUAUGCACCGGUAAAUGACUCGUUCCCUCUGGGCGGAGCACCAGGAUGGAAACAAUUGGCGAUGGAUGAUGUUUUGUUCAGCUCUGUUUAUGCAAAGCCUCUUCAGAAUUCAAAUUCUCUUGACGAUACGAUGAUAAACAGAAUAUCUGCAAGUUCAACUGGGUACCAGUUUGCAUUAAAAUCCCACAUUUUAUCAUUAUGCAACAUGGGAAGGUUACCAGAAGCUCUGAAACUAAGUUUCUCUGCUCCAUUUGCCUUGGACUACUCGGUGUAUUUGAAAACUUUGCAGCUCUGUAUCGAUGCCAAGGUCGAGAGAGGAGGUCUUUUGAUUCAUAAGCAUCUUAUCACUAGUGGGUUUGAUUCAAAUUUACAUUUGAACACCAAAUUGGUGAUAUUUUAUGCCAAACUGCGGGACAUGAUGGCUGCUCAUAAGGUGUUCGAUGGAAUGACUGAGGGAAGCGUUGUGUCUUGGACUGCUUUGGUUUCUGGGUAUUCUCAGAAUGGGUACUUUCAAGAAGCUUUGAUGGUAUUCGUGGCAAUGCGUCGGGCUGGUUUGAAGGCUAAUCAGUUUACUUAUGGGAGUGUAUUGAGGGCAUGUUCAAGCAUGAGGUGUUUGGAUGGAGGGAAGCAAAUACAAGGGUGUAUUCAGAAAGGCAGGUUUGUCGAUAAUUUGUUUGUGCAGAGUGCAUUGGUUGAUUUGCAUUCAAAAUGCGGAAUUAUGCGGGAUGCCUGUUACAUCUUUGAGAUGAUGUCAAAAAGGGACGUGGUUUCUUGGAACACACUGAUUGGUGGGUAUGCUGUUCAGGGUUUUACUGGCGACUCAUUUCAAAUGUUUCGUGCAAUGCUAAGAGAAGGUAGCAACCCAGAUUGCUUCACCUUCGGAAGUAUUUUGAGAGCUUUAUCUAGUGGUAAUGACCUCAUGAAGAUAAGCCAAAUACAUGGAUUCAUCAUACAUCUUGGUUUUGGAUCACAUCGUGAUUUGAUGGGAUUGCUCAUCGACACUUAUGCAAAAUGUGGGAGCAUUAGAAUUGCUGAUGAUCUGUAUAAGAAUAUGCCUGAAAAGGAUUUAAUUUCGUGCACUGCAUUAAUCAGUGGAUACGCACGUGAAGGAAACUGCAGCAGAGAUGUUCUUAAUCUCUUCAAAGAAAUACGUCAAUUGUAUCUAGUAAUGGAUGAUGUUCUGUUAUGUUCUAUGCUUAACGUAUGUGCCAAUGGAGCUUUACUAAGCUUGGGAAGACAAAUUCAUGCUCUUGCAUUAAAAUAUCUACCAAGAUAUGAUGUGGCCAUGGGCAAUGCCCUUAUUGAUAUGUAUGCGAAAUCUGGAGAAAUUGAAGAUGCUAACCAUGCAUUUGAUGAGAUGGAGGAGAAAAAUGUGAUUUCAUGGACUUCAUUGAUUGCUGGAUUGGGGAAGCAUGGUUAUGGACAAAAGGCAAUAAUGUUAUAUAAGAAUAUGGAAUGUCAUGGAUUGAAGCCAAAUGACGUUACAUUCUUGUCUCUUCUGUUUGCCUGUAGUCAUGCUGGAUUGACUGGUGAAGGGUGGGAUUUCUUCAAUGCUAUGGUUUGCAAAUACAAUAUACUUCCCAGAGUUGAACAUUAUUCUUGUAUGAUAGAUCUCUUUGCACGUGGAGGUCAGUUAGAAGAAGCAUAUAAUAUAAUAUGCAACAUGAAAAUAAAGCCAAAUACCUCAGUGUGGGGUGCAUUUCUUGGGGCAUGCACUACCUAUGGCAAUAUGUCUCUUGGAGAAAUAGCAGCCAAGCAACUUUUUAGUAUUAAUCCUGAGAAUUCAGUUAGCUAUGUUGCUUUAGCAAGCAUAUAUGCUAAUGCUGGCUUGUGGGGCAAUGCUUGGAAUAUGCGACAAUUAAUGGAAAAUAGAAGUUUGAAGAAAGAUCCAGGGUACAGCUUAUUGCAGUCCACGAGGAAGAGUAUAGAAUUUCUGCAUGCAAGUUGAGAGUACAGAACCUAAUUUUCAUACUGGAGUAAGCUUUAGAUUUAUGCAAACUUGUGCCAGAUGUAUGGAUCUUAUGUUGCUGCAUCAAAUGGGGAUAUGCAUUACACAUCAAGUACUCACAUUCUCAUACUUCAGAGCUUAUCAUAAAGUUAAUAAAGGCAAAGUGGAUUUCGAAUGAUAAAAAGGACAAUUCCGAAAGCUCGUGUCAAAAUUCAGAUCAAAUGAAACUUAGACCUCAAAUGACAUAUCUUGAAAGCUCACAAGGAUCAAGGAACAUGGAAGGCCCUAUAUCAAAUAAAUGAUCCAUAAUGAAAGCUCAAAGAAGUUUGAAAGAUCAAAGACCAGCGACAAAGAAAACUCAAAGCAAAGAAGAGUUAAAUCAGUUUUUAGAACAAGUUUUGUAAGUACUUUAAGUAUGAUUCAAGUAUGACUUUUCACUUUGAAGCUCAUUAGGCAAAUGAGACUUAGAGACCUUAGUUUUAAGUCUUGGAACUUAUUUUUCAAAGAAAAACUAAUUGAUAUUUCAAGAUUGAAUAAGCAAAGAAGAGAGAGAACAAAAAUAUUUUAAAACAAGAAACAAUUGGUUGAUAGGCGACUGACUGCACAUGGAUAGUCAACUGCCAUGUUAAAGGUUUUAAAAUAAGCAGAUAGAAGUAUGACAGUCAACUAUCUAGAGCUUGACAGGUGACUGUCAGUGUAAAUUGAGACAACUGCUUGUGUUUUGCCAGUCGUCUGUCACCCUUCUGGUCAUUUAAAAAAUCUAGUUGUUCAGUGAUAGGCGCCUGACUCCUUGUUGACAGGCGACUGCCACCUUACUGCUUGUGCAUUCUAUACGUGAAAUACACUAACAGCCGACUGCCAGAGUCCUCAUAGUCAAUUGUCACGCGGUAAAAUUUAAAAAACAUAGCAGACAUAUUUUGAAAUAUUCAAUUGCUUGGGGCUCAAACUUAUUUAAAUCUUGGACCCUACUCCAAGUAAACUUGGGGAACAAGUUAGAUUCUUUUCUACAUCUAUUAAUACACCCAAGUUUAAUUGAUUCAACACACAAGAAUUCAAUUCAGCAUUCAAAAUCUCUUUCAAGUGUUCUGAAAUUCUCAAAGCUCUCUUUUGCUGUAAAUUGGCACGAAGUUUACUGAAGUCUUGCUAAUUCUCUCACUGAUAUUGUGCUACAACUAUUAAUUCUUUCAUUCAUUGAAAGAAUCAUAUGGUGAAAUACUUCUAGAGCUUCAAUCUGAAUUUCAUAUUGUGAAUUACAUGGAAGUAUAUAGUUUUGAACUGUACUAAUCAGCUCUUUGAGGAGCAAUUCUUUGUACAUCUAUUUGAUUUGUAUCUUAUAGAUUGACGAUUCCAAGGAUUGUUUGGAUUGUUGGCUAAGCAAAGGGUUAUCGCUUAGAGAGGCAGACUCUAGCCUAUUUGAAGGAGUGACCGAACGAGGGUACAUCAUUUGGAGAGGCGGGCUCUAGCCUACUGAAGGAGUGUGUAAUCAGUGUUGUUCCGCCUGGUAAAGGAACUGAUUUUAGCGAA